CUUCAUAAAGCAAGUGUUUAUUAAUGACCUACUACUAAAAGACAAGCACUGCAUACCGGAAUGGGGUGAUUCUGUGACUAACGCAGCUUCCAGUUUUCAAAAAAAGAGGCCAGCUACAAGUGACUACUUGCUUUGUUGUACUUACCCCAACACACUUUAUUCUCACCAAGAUGAUGGAGCUCCACAGCCCCAUGUCAGACUCC